UACGUAGGGUGCAAGCGUUGUCCGGAUUUACUGGGCGUAAAGGGCGCGUAGGCGGCGCGACAAGUCACUUGUGAAAUCUCCGGGCUUAACCCGGAGCGGCCAAGUGAUACUGUAGUGCUAGAGUGCGGAAGGGGCUACUGGAAUUCUCGGUGUAGCGGUGAAAUGCGUAGAUAUCGAGAGGAACACCUGCGGCGAAGGCGGGUAGCUGGGCCGACACUGACGCUGAGGCGCGAAAGCCAGGGGAGCGAACGGG
rnacentral:rRNA from 1 species